GGCAGAGGGAGAAGUAGGCUCCAUGUCAGGAGCCUGAUGUGGGACUCGAUCCCGGGUCUUCAGGAUCACGUCCUCGGCUGCAGGCAGACACUCAACCACUGAGCCACCUGGGCUGCCCUCGUUUUAUUUUCAAACGAUUGAGCCCUUUAGUUGUAUUUGAUUUUUAGUUAAAACAUUUAGUGUACCACACCCGGUGCUCAUUUUAUUUAAUUUUUAAUUCAUUGAUUUUUAAAAAGUCACGGAAACCGUGAAAUGUUACCAAGCGCAUGUAACAAAUUCUUCAUGAUACUUUUUUUUUUUUUUCAUGAUACUUAAAUGAACACUGAGGCAUGUAAAGUCUAAAGAAAUGUGAGCUCGGUGAGCACCGGGAGGUUUGUCUCCGUCCAUUGCUGCAUUCCCGGCCUCUGGUAGAGCUGGCAGGUGUGUGCGGGCCCAUGAACACUAGCCACAUUCACCUGCUUGGGGCCUACAUGCAACCGCUGUCCAUCCUAUUUCUUUUGAAUUUAAUAACAUAAAUGUGAUAUCACUCUGACGUCAUCACUACAAACAGCUUUGUUCGGAUUUACUGACAUAGUUACCAAUUUCUCCACUGACCAUCACUUCGUGCCUUUCCCAUCAUUCUGAAGUCGGUCUGUUCAACGUUCUUUUUGAUAAAGGGCUGAUGUUGGCAACGCUCGCUCUUAGUUUUUAUUCAUCAAAAAAAUACGUUGUUUUUUUCUGUGUGGUUGAAAAGUGCUGCAGGGUGAUUGGUUCCAGGCUGACUGUUAUUUUCUCCCAACACGGUAAAGAUUAUUUGCCAUAGGCUGAAUUCUUACGUUGGAAUCCCAGCCCCCAGGUGACGGUGUUCGGUGGGGCCUGCAGGUGAGUAGGUCACGAGGCCAGAGUCCUGUGAAUGAGAUGGGUGCCCCCGUGACCCCACUGCCACGUGAGGUUGCUACCUGCAAGGGGGCCCCGAUCUCAGACUUCCAGCCUCCAGAACUCUGAGAAAUAAAUCCUCUGUAUUUGUAAGACAUCCAGUCUGUGGUGUUUUCUGGAAGUGACCCUAACACCCUAAGCUAAGUAUUUCUCUACCUUCCGCCUUGUCUUUUAGCUUCUGAGACUAUAUCUGCUGGUCUAAUCAUUUUAUCUUUUUUAAAAGAUAUUUAUUCAUUUAUUUAUUGGAGAGAGUGAGAGAGAGAGGGAGAGCACAGAGGGAGAGAGAAAGGGAGAAGCAGGCUCCACGUUGAGCACAGAGCCGGAUGCGGGGCUCGAUCCCAGGACCCGGAGAUCACGACCUGAGCUGAAAUCAAGAGUCCUGUCCGAUUUCUUUAAGUGAACCUCCCAGUUUCUGGUUGGACUUACUCUGUAAAGACACUGAACACCUCAGUUGGUGACCCUCCCCCCCCAGCUGGGAUUAGUAUUUCCGUCUGCCUGGACUGUGCUUGCUGUUCUGACCCGGGGCCUUCUAAGGAUGCAGCUGUACUGCCACAGGAGAGCCUCUGCGAGUACCUGGUUCAACGUGAUGGGAAAUAAAAGACAUGCAGAAAAUGCAAGAGGUAUGGAUCUACACCAAUCCUGGGGGACCUGCUUACGGUUUGGUUGGCUAAUCAGCAUGUGGAAGAAGUAAAAUUGGAAAACAGAUGACAAGUAAGCUUGGGGAAGGCCAUGGGGAAGGACACCCAGGAAUGUGCAGAGGAUGUGGAAACAUCAGUGACUCAAGAACAUGCUCGCCGAAGGGCUCUCAGUGAAGACGUGAGCAAGUGUGAAGGAUGACUUGUCCUAUAGAUGCUCGUUCUGUCUGUCUUCACCUUCUCCUGUUCUUGUUCAAUGGGUUCAGGACAAAGUGGCCACGUUAGCAAGGAUGCUGGUUUUGCAGGGGUUCAACCUCAAAGAUCCCUUGUGCUUGCCAAACGAGAGGCGGCUACUACCACCGUGUAUUACUCAGAGCGCCAGUAGCGUUGACCCAAGCACGGUCCCCAGUGUGGCAUCAUGCUCAAGGAGGACGGAGGCAAGCCCAUCACCCAGGGGUCGCUUGGUUAUAGUGGAUCACUUCUACUGUAAAGAAAGCAGGGAUUUGCCAUGACUGGAAUGGAAACUUAUUUUGAAUACAGGUUUGCAUGUUGGCACCAGCUGUGAAUUUUCUGAAUGCAUAGUUCACAGCCUUCGUAUCAUUUAUGACACUAUUUCUGAAUGAGGGAAUUACUCCAGGGCAUAAGAAGUAAGGCCGAUUCUUGUGGAAUAAAGUAUGUCUAUCCAGAACAGCUGGUCAUUUAUAAGAGGGGAAUGGCUUUCUGAAGACUAAUUCGUAGAGCCACCUGGCAUAUACCAUUUGCGAGUUGGUGGUACUUCCUGGUAGGAUGCAACGUAUACUCAGAACCAGCGCUCAGUGCUGCUUCUCACGGCCGUAGUCGGGAUCUAGGAAUGAAGAGGAAGCUGGGAGUGAUCUGACACAUUUACACCAAUGAGCCACUGGCCCUUCUUGUCCUUCGCAUCUCUGUUCUCGAGACUUAGGCUGUGCCGCCCUAAAGGUCUUUUGUUCCCAGGGGACGCAUGUCCUCCAGUCCCGAUAAGCACCCCUCACACCCACCCAAAGAAACAAAGGUGACUCUACUCAACAGAAGGUUGAAAGAGCAACCUGGCCCUUUUGAGAUCCCCCACCACUGGACACACAUGCUGGGAGGAGGGUACUCCUUUGAGAAUAUUUGUCUUAAUUAUCAAGCAGAAAUAUGGUCGCAGAUACAUGAUGAAGCAAGGCAGGAAUGCGAGGUCAGAGGGGUCAGAUAUCCGUUGACUCUGGGACCUUUGUUCAAUCAAUGUGUCAGAAAAACCACGGGCACACUCAACAGACAGUCUCCCCAGGAAAGGUAGCGAUUCCACGAUCUAAGUUGCUUUCAGCACAUUAAGAUGUACUUCUGUUUCCCCGGGGUGAAAUACACCUUUUCAAACCACUGAAAGACUAGGGGCUCCAUUUUUUCAAAAUUUUUUACCAGGCGGGAAAACAAACCUCUUGAGUGGCUUUAUUUAUAUGUAAAAAUAGACUACCUCUGAGUACUUCGUUUCACUUCAAAUGUCAAAAGACAUUAUGACAAAAAUUCUGAACAAUAAAUAGCAUCUCAUUCAAUUACUGAAUGGGGAAUUUGAUAUCUACUGAUUCUCUGAGUGUGUGAUUCCAGAAUAAUAAGGAACCUGGCAACUUCGCCUGUUUUUCUUUGCUGUGAGUACACAGCUGCAAGAAAUCUUAGGAACGACCUAAUCCAUCUCAAUCACUGUACAAGCAAAGCAACUGAGGAUGCAGAGCACAUUUUAGAUUUUAUUUAUUUAUUCAUGAGAGACUCGGAGAGCAAGGCAGAGACACAGGCGGAGGGAGAAGCAGCCUCCCUGUGGGGAGCCCGAUGUGGGACUCAAUCUCAGGACCCCAGGAUCACGACCUGAGCCACCCAGGUGCCCCCGGAGCACAUUUUAAAGGGUACUCGGGAGAGGAAGGAAAGAUGGGCUCUCCUGACCUCUUGUUUGUACAAUCCCACUGGUCUGCAGCUCUUUGCAAAAUGCUUGCUUAUAGACAGUGUCCAAAUGCAGAACCAGAUUAUGAGUAAGGAAUCAGAGUCGCUAGUCAGUGUUUGUGGGCAAUUCCUUUUUUUUUUUUUUUUAAAGAUUUUAUUUAUUCAUGAAAGACAAUUCCUAUUUAAUAAGAGUCGCACAGUUGAAAAGUGGCAUGGAAUGGUUCUGGGCUGGAGGUACAAAUGUGCCAUGGCCCCAGAGUCACUGUGUACAGUGAAAGAGGCCGCCGACGGGAAGCACUGAAGAGUUACUGCAGCUCCUUCACUCACACCUGUGUAGCCAUGGACAAGAAUUGCAAAGCUCAUUCGAUUGAUUGCACACACUGGACAGAGUCACGCUGAUGGGAACCCAUGGGUAAGAGAAAUCAACAGUGAUUUACAGGAAGUUGCAGGCCACAAAACCUGGUGUUUUUGGAGAUCCCGUGACUGCUCUGGAUCGGAGGCACCUGAUUGGACCUCCCAUCGUGUGGCAUCUCAGAAGCACAAGGCGUCUCCCUCCCCAAACGCUGCAUUACCCUCUUAUUCCUGAGGAUUCAUACCAACCUUGUUAGGUUACAGAUUGUAGACAUGGACGGAUUCCAGACUGGGUAACUGUGAGCAUUUAUAUACUUGAAUUUCUUCUUCUUUUCAUUUCUCUCAUAAUCCAGCAGAUGUCAGCCAUUCUCUUUGGUUUGGUUUUGCUUGGCAUCACCUGCCCGGGACCAGCUGAAGAGAAAUCACCUUUAGUUAUGUCAAAGUGGCAUGUUUGUUGAACUGUAACAACAAUAAUCCUCCCCAUUAGCCUACCAGGAACUGGAGGCAUUUUGUACUCAAGCAAUGAUGAAUUUUUAUUUUCUCACUUAAUUAAAAAAAAAAAAUCUCCAUCUCGGUUUCCAAAAUGUAUAGCUGGGCAAUAAAUGAGAAAACAGGGAAGGGCAGCCAGGGGAUUCAAAUGUGUGCUAAAAUAAUUUGUACGUUCAUGAGAGAAGGCAAAUUGUGCCUUGACGUCAAUGUGAGGUUGUGGUUUCAUUCUAUAGUUUAGAAUUAAAAAAGUCAUAGUUCGUGGUGUGUGUUUG